UAGACUUGUGUUCUGAUUGGCCGACUCUCCGUGAUGAUUAUCCAAUCACCAUCUUUCGGCUGACUGUCUG
ensembl:snoRNA snoZ196 Small nucleolar RNA Z196/R39/R59 family